rnacentral:misc_RNA from 1 species
AAUCUUGGACUUCAAGUUGAUGGCGAAUUCACUAUAACGUCAAGUCGAGAAUUAUGAAAAGCAAGAGAACGCGGAGAAACUCAAGGUCAAGAACACCAUUGCAUAUGGGUUCGAUGUCAUCGUUGCUAAGCUCAAAAUAAAAAAGAUAACUAAUGUGAUUAAUUAUCAUGUGAUAUAUGAAAAUGAAAUUACUAUUCAUUGAAAUCAAUCGAAGUACUAAAAAAUUUUAGUGUAUCCAUUUUAAAUUUGGCUGUAAUUGACAUAUAUUUGAAAUUUUG